ensembl:lncRNA
UAAUUAAGAUUCGAGCUCUCCAGCUGGUCACUGUUUAUUCUCUCUUAGAUUUGAAAAAGAUAAAAUAAAAUCAAUUUUUAAGGAAAUUAUAAUUAAAAGGUAUAACUGACAUUGAACUGAACUGAACUGACAUUAAUUUUUACAUUGAAUUAAAGAUUAAAUUUCCUAUUUUUUGAGAUUUUUUAAAAGUAUACUAUGUACUUACACAUAUUUAUACUGACACUUUUAGUUGUAUAUUCAAAUACAAUGCUUGAGAGGACUCUGCCCCAUCUUAGUUGUGUUUAGAAGAAUAAUCAUCUACACUUGGCCUAAAGUAUAUGUGUACAAUCUAUGACACUGUGCUGCUAAUAUGAUGAAUGGAUGCAAGGCACAUGAGAGGGAGGCUUAAGAUAGAUUAUGUUGAUAAUUGUCCUAUUUAACUGAGAAGAAUAGAGGUAAAAGAUUGUUUGGGGAUUAAGAUGAUGAGGUUUAUUUUGUUGCUGUUUUAUUUAAUGUUCCCAAAUGGGAAAUACCUAGUAAAUCAGUGAAGUAGGGAUAGAGGUAGUAGCAAUAGUAGUAGUAGUGAAUGCUCAGUCAUGUCUGACUCAUUGGGACUCAUGGGCAGUUUCCUCCGUCCAUGGGAUUUCCCAUGCACAAGUACUAGAUUGGGUUGCCAUUUCUUACUCUGGGCAAUCUUCCUGACCCAGAGACUUAAGCUGUGUCUUCUGUAUUGGCAGACAGAUUCUUUACCACUGAGCCACCAGGGAAACCCUUUAAAUCUAAGUCAAUUUCAGGCAUGAAAGAAAAUUGACAUGUAGGAGGCAAUCUGAGUAUUUGGUCACAUAUUAGAUGUCAGAUAAAAGUGUGUACAUAGAGAAAAUAUUUGACUUUGAGUUUUUAUCUUCUCUCCAUUCAUUGUUCCAUACCUACUCUAUCUGUUUUUCAGUAUGAGCAUUAACCUUCCAUGCAGGUUACAUAUCUAAAUAGCUCUAUAAAUAUUUGUGCAGUUAUUUCUGAUGCAUUUCUAAUUUUUUAGUCCUUUUGAAAGCUUAUCAUAUAAAAGGUGAUGUACUGGGUCUGGACACACAUAUAUCCGUGAGAAAUGAUUUGUGAUUGUAAAGACUCAGAGAAUUUACAGAUUGCAUAGUCUAGUCGGGGAAACAAUUUCCUUUACAAGAGAGCAGGGCUGUAUAUUAUUUAAAGUAUGACUGAGACAGCACACUCACAUAUACCGGGUCAUUGUUGCUGCACGUGGGCUUUCUCUAGUUGCCGCAGGUGGUGGCCACUCUCUAGCUGUGGUGUAGAGGCUUCUCAUUGCAGUAGCUGUUCUUGUUGCUGAACACGGGCUCUAGAGCACAGGCUUAAAAGUUGCAGUGCAUGGGCAUUGUUACCCUGUGGCAUGGAGAAUCUUCCUGGAACAGGGAUUGAACCCAUGUCCCCUGCACUGGCAGGCAGGUUGACUCUCAACCACUCGACUAUCUGGGAAGUCCUGGUCUAUUCUUAAUUGAGUUUCAAUCAAGUCGUAUCAUGUAAAGAUGGUGUAAAGUUGAAGAGAGCAUUCUGAAGUCUUGAAGAACGUGUGAUUUUGUUUUGUGGUGUUGGUGUUGGGAUUAACAACAUAUUCCAAAAUAAAUGUUAUUCUCUCAGUUUUGUAAAUGGAUAUGCUGAAAGAGUUUAGAAAACUGAUCUAAUAUCCAGACAGACUAGCCAUCUGCCUGCAUCAGAUUUCCAAGUUUUCCACUUUUCUUUGCCUUGCUGUUUUCAUCUGCUCAUGUUAUAAUGCCUGUCUGUGGAGUACUUGACUCAGGGCCCAGCAUAUAGCAAGUAUCCAAAGAACUGAAUUAAUGGACAGCAUAUCUCAUAAUAGAAAGGUAUCACUAGCUAUCUAUCCAUUCAAUUGACCUUUGAACGACACUGCAUAUAGGGGCACCUCUCUGCUUUCCAUAGUCAAAACUUUGCAUUAACUUUAUAGUCAGUCCUCCAUAUCCAAGGUUCUGCAUCCUGGGACUCAACCAACUGCAGAUCACUCAACCAUUUUCUCUUAUCUUACUGUCUCUUCUCACAUAAGUGUGCGAUAAAACCUUCACAUUUUAUCUCUGCAUUUAGUUUCCCAGAAUAAAAACAUGUUUUCAGGUUUUUUUGUGAAGCCAGAUGUGGCCAUGUAACUAGUUGUCGACAAUGAAAAGAAAAUAGAAAUAUGGUGCCUAGCCUUUGGGCCUUUGUUAGAAAGGAUACACCCUUUGUUAUUUUUUCUCCAUUCAUCAUGCUCCUGCAACGUUAGUGUAAUGGCUUGACAUCUAGUUACUAUCUUGGAUCAUGAAGACAAGAAUCACACCCUAGGGAUGAUAGACCAUAAACUAGAAAGAUGUUUUCAUCUGUGAAGGCUUUUAGCUGCAAACUUGCUACACCAGCUGUGGAUAACCUGUCUCUAGUUACAUUUACAUGAGAGUUAAGUUUUGUCUUAUAGUCAGUUUGGGGAUAUCUGUUUCUUAGAGCUAAACAUAAUCUUGAACACUAUAAGUACAUUUUAUAUCCCAACCAUUAUUUUCUAUGUUUUUAUGUAUUUGAUUAUGUAUAUUUAUGCUAUAAUAAAUAGGGUACAUUAUAGUCUUGUAAAGCAGACAUAUCAUCAGUUUACACAAAAGAAUCCUACCUAUAAUCAUUGGAGGACUUCAUGGAAAGAAGCAGUGUCUUAAAGUUUUUAAAAUUCAAUUUGCC